rnacentral:snoRNA from 1 species
GUCUAAUGAUGAGACCAAGGCGAAUAGGAGCUUACUGAUUGAGAGUUGGGUACUUCUAGCCUUGACUGGCAGGUAAUCUUGGCAGUGCAGGGGAGAAUUCCUGUUCUGCUGUAAGGGCCUGCCCACAGUGACCUGGCUCACCCAAAUUAUUCUUCUACAGUCGCAGCUGAAUAAUUGCUGGGUUGAGGCUGACAGUGUGUGUGUGUGUGUGUGUGUAAGGCUAGGAGUUCACUCAGCUCUUUGUUGUUCAGUGGGCAAUGAAUUCUCUCUUUGGUAAUCUGAAGGCA